UCCAUGCAGGGAGCCAGACACGGGAUUCGAUCUAGGGACUCCAGGAUCAGCCCUGGGCCUAAGGCAGGAACCGCUAAGCCACCUAGGGACCUCCCCUGAGUCACCAAGGACUCCCCGAUUGGUUGAUUUUUAAAUGUCAAACCAGCCCUACAUUCUCCGGAUAAGCUUAAAGUAAUCAUGAUAUAUUUUCCUUUUUUUUUUUUUUUUUAAGAUGUAUUUAUUUGAAAGAGAGAGCAUGCAGGUUUGGAGAGAAUACUCAAACCGACUCCCUGCUGAGUGUGUAGCCCAACACAGGGCUCCAUCUCACAGCCCAGAGAUCAAGACCUGAGCCAAAACCGAGAGUCAGAUGCGCAACCAACUGAGCUACCCAGGCACCCCGAUAUAUUUUCCUUUUUAUCAGGAGGAUAAAUCCAGUUCCUGUUACUCCAUCUUUGGCAAAAGCAGAAAUCUGGAAACCUUUUCUAACAAGUAGUUGAAGCAUCUUAAGCCUAAAAACCCUGGAAGCACUAUGAUCCCAGUAGCAAUGAGCAAAACAAGCCACCAACUUUCUAAAUACUAUUCUUCAACAAGAGGAACAAGUCUUCUUGGAGAAAAGGCUGAUUUCAGGAGCAAAGGAGGGACGGGAUAACCAGGAACACCUUUUGGGGCCAGGAAGUAAGGAAGUAUUCAGAGAAUAAUGGAGACAUGUCAGAAGGACACAGAAGUUUUAAAAGGACCUUUACCAGCUGAAUCUGGGACAAUAUAUCAAAAUAAAAAUGACGGCAAACAAAUUACAUCAAUUGAUUAAAUUAGGGGCCAUCAGCCUAUGAUGAUAUAAAUAAAUGACUAAAUAGAAAACCCUUCCUUAUAAUGCCAACUAAUAAAAGUCAAAGGAACAGUUAAAUUAUAAAAUCAUCACUUUGCAGCUCUCAUAGAAAUAAUGAAUUCAGGCAAGAAACAUAAAUGGAUAGCAAGACUUAUGGAUGGAAAAUGGUUGGAUAACAGGUGUUAUUUACAUUGUCUCAAAUUAUCUCUCUACAAAAUAAUUAUACAUGAAGAAAGAGUAACUUUAUUGUGAAGAAACCUGGAAGCACAUCCUUACUCAGGUGAUUGAAGUUAACAUCAACAGUAGUGGAGCAAAUUGGCAUCCUAUGUUAUCUGAUGGAUGCAGUGAGCCAAGCACAAAAUUACUUAAGUGAUCUUGCCUGAAAUAUAUAACCCAACUGUGAAUGAACCUCAAGGGAGCACAAAUGGAGGAACAUUCCACAAAAUAAUAGGUCUACAGGGAUCCCUGGGUGGUGCAGCGGUUUGGCGCCUGCCUUUAGCCCAGGGCACGAUCCUGGAGAUCUGGGAUCGAGUCCUAUGUCGGGCUCCCAGU